rnacentral:rRNA from 1 species
UAAUGCCGGAUGCUCCAUCACACCGCAUGGUGUGUUGGGAAAGCCUUUGCGGCAUGGGAUGGGGUCGCGUCCUAUCAGCUUGAUGGCGGGGUAACGGCCCACCAUGGCUUCGACGGGUAGCCGGCCUGAGAGGGCGACCGGCCACAUUGGGACUGAGAUACGGCCCAGACUCCUACGGGAGGCAGCAGUGGGGAAUAUUGCACAAUGGGCGCAAGCCUGAUGCAGCGACGCCGCGUGAGGGAUGGAGGCCUUCGGGUUGUAAACCUCUUUUGUUAGGGAGCAAGGCAUUUUGUGUUGAGUGUACCUUUCGAAUAAGCACCGGCUAACUACGUGCCAGCAGCCGCGGUAAUACGUAGGGUGCAAGCGUUAUCCGGAAUUAUUGGGCGUAAAGGGCUCGUAGGCGGUUCGUCGCGUCCGGUGUGAAAGUCCAUCGCUUAACGGUGGAUCCGCGCCGGGUACGGGCGGGCUUGAGUGCGGUAGGGGAGACUGGAAUUCCCGGUGUAACGGUGGAAUGUGUAGAUAUCGGGAAAGAAC